rnacentral:rRNA from 1 species
GACGAACGCUGGCGGCGUGCUUAACACAUGCAAGUCGAGCGGUAAGGCCCUUUCGGGGGUACACGAGCGGCGAACGGGUGAGUAACACGUGGGUGACCUGCCCUCAGCUCUGGGAUAAGCCUGGGAAACCGGGUCUAAUACCGGAUAUGACUCCAUGACGCAUGUUGUGGGGUGGAAAGCCUUGUGCGGCUGAGGAUGGGCCCGCGGCCUAUCAGCUUGUUGGUGGGGUGAUGGCCUACCAAGGCGACGACGGGUAGCCGGCCUGAGAGGGCGACCGGCCACACUGGGACCGAGACACGGCCCAGACUCCUACGGGAGGCAGCAGUGGGGAAUCUUGCGCAAUGGGCGAAAGACCUGACGCAGCGACGCCGCGUGAGGGAUGACGGCCUGG